rnacentral:rRNA from 1 species
AUUGAACGCUGGCGGCAGGCCUAACACAUGCAAGUCGAACGAGUGGCGGACGGGUGAGUAAUGUAUGGGAAACUGCCCGAUGGAGGGGGAUAACUACUGGAAACGGUAGCUAAUACCGCAUACAAUCGGAUGUGCCCAGAUGGGAUUAGCUAGUGGGUGGGGUAACGGCUCAACGAGGCGACGAUCCCUAGCUGGGCUGAGAGGAUGACCAGCCAAACUGGAACUGAGACACGGUCCAGAAUCCUACGGGAGGCAGGAGUGGGGAAUAUUGCACAAUGGGCGCAAGCCGUAUGCAGCCAUGCCGCGUGUAUGAAGAAGGCCUUCGGGUUGUAAAGUACUUUCAGCGAGGAGGCGUUACUCGCAGAAGAAGCACCGGCUAACUCCGUGCCAGCAGCCGCGGUAAUAC